rnacentral:lncRNA from 1 species
CGGACCUUGCGGGGAUGGUCACCGUCGUCGCAGUCCGAGGAGGCGGUCUCGUGGUAGGCGGCGGCAGCGGUGGAGGCGUGGCCAUCAUGGAAGCAGGAGGCUCGGGGAGGAGGAUGAUCUGAGCUUGUGAUGGAACAACAUUUGGACGGCGAGAGCGACGGGACUCGGAAUCUUGGUCUGGUCUGGUCUGGUCCGGUCCCUGGUCUGCGCAAGAGUGUGAAGAGAGUGAAGAGAGGGAUGGCGAUGAUGAGGAAGACGAUGGAGAAGGGGAUGAGGCGGAGGGUCUAUUUAUGGGGUGGACGGAUGAGGACGGGGGCGUGUGGCGGCAAAGCAGAGUGGCAGGGUGGUGGUGAGGGCGGGAGUGAGGAUGAGGAAAACCGCGGGUGGAUCGUGGUGGGCAAGUGGGAAGCGGUUUUUUUGGCGUUAAUCCUGCGUGAGGUUUCCUUCUUACUUUUCCUGAACUUCAUUGUUGGGCAGUUUGGUAAUUCCACGGAAGUCGAGGGACCACGUAGCUGCUCCUCCUUUCUUUUAUUUUUAAUAUUUAUCUUUUGUUUUAGGAUAGUUGAAAUUUUUAACUUCUGAGAUAGUUGGAAUUUAAAUGACUCUUUUAUGGGUUUUCUUACACGACCAUAUAUAUAAUAAAUUGCGAGAGUAAAGGCCAAGAACGGAAUCACCAGUUCAAAGUCAUGACUUCUCACUUUAGAGUACAUUUAUUUUACGGAAAAAAUCCACAUUUUGAGAAUAUUUUCUUAAUUUUAACCAUUGUUAAUCGCUUACAAAAAUCAUUCAAUGAAAAGUAUUUCUAUUCUUAACAACAAUUUAUACCUAGACAUUUUUGCUGAUUAUACUAUUUUUCAUUGUCACUUUUUCUAAGUGAUGUAAAAAAUCAAAAUUAAAAAAUAUUUUUUAAAUCAUUGAUUUUUCGUGAAAUAAAUUGAGCAUUAAUCUCCUAAAGCAACUGCAAGGCAGAAAAGAUGAUUUAUAUGAAGAUGGAGAAUCCAUAAUCUUGGGAAUUUGAUGGACACAAUUAGAUCUAGAGAGAAAAUCAAUAAGAUUUGAAAUGUCGCAAACUAAACUAGUAUAACUUGGAGGCAAGACAACAUAAGAGAGGGGAUUAAUUGGGAUGUUUGAUUUUCAUGUGAUAUCGAAUCAAAUAUCCAAAGGUUCAAAUCCCUCUAUUGCCUCCCACAUUGCCAUCACUUUUCAUUUUCUUUCAAUGUCCAGCCGAAUACUAGCUUUGCUGCUCCCUGCUUGGCCCGAGGCAGCUUCACUCAUAUCUCAAGAUAAUAGAUGAGAGGCUCUAAAUAAAGCAAAUUUCAACAUUAAAAGCAAUAAAGCACAAAUUGUAACGGCGAGCGCACUCUCAUUUUACAAAAACAAACAUGCCUCGAGCAUCAAAACAGAACGAAUGGCACUCGAUAAAUAAAGUCAGUAAGAACGAAUCAUUAAUUCCCUACUUGCCCUUGCGCUGAUCUCCACUUACCUCUUCAUGUGACACUAAGCUCUUCACUUCCAAUGGUGGUUUCAUCGAUCACUAAUUAAAAACGAUUGGGGGGAGCCAUGCAUCAUGCUUGGUUUGGAUUCUUGUCAUUGACAAGCCGAGCGCCUCCCGUGACUCCUGGGCUCGUGCUAUUCUCAAAGUGCAAGUCUCGCAUAUGAGAGCGCUCCACGUCAGUGGAGAUUGGAGUGAGCAUCUGAGGGAGAAUGGGCUCAUGCACCCAGCCAUUGAGUGCCCGCCACCGGACGCUUCCUUGCUCAACAAUUUGGGAUAGAUAAUAGGGGAAACAUGGUGUUUUGUCUCUAGGGGAGUAUUCGAGUCGGAUCUGGUCGACACAAUGCCCUCGAGAGCUCGGUUUGACUUGAUUUGGAUGGUCGAUACUCAAAACUCAACUUGAGCUUGAUUGAGUAUUAAAAUUGAUGCAUGAGUUCAAUUCGACUAGAAAAAUUGAGAUAUUGGAACUCUAGUAAAUAAAUAGUAAACUUCACUUUCAUAGAUCAAAUAUAAUUAGCGAAAGAGUCUAAAUAUAAUAGCCCGAUGAUAUAAGAUGCUUUUUGUACAAAAGCACGCUUUUCAUAUGCACAAAAAAGUCAAUUUUCGGAAAAUAUUGACAAUACACAUAAUAAUUAAGAGAUCCGAAGUCAUUCCUCAUGUCAUAGGCUAUGGCCACUUCUUGCCGGUGACAAAAAACAUAAAAAUUAUAUUAGUCAUGAAUAUAAGUUAUUCAUAUAACAAUUCAGCCAAUCAUUUUAUAUAAAAAUAUGUUUAUGAAUCAUUUUGAUAUGUUUAGUACCCGGCCAUGUAUAGCCCACUGCCUAUCCCUAUCCAUAGGAAAAGGCAGUUACAUCCAUAAAGUGAAUUCAUUCAUCCAAGACAUAAUCUACUUCUUGUCGGCUCCCCUUUCAUUGACGCAAGGCUGAUCAACAAAAAUGCUCAAACACGAAACACUUUAGGCAAAAAGCGAAAGCCAAAUGGAGACGACGAUGACAAAUGGACGCAGAUUUUCCAUAAAUUUGAUAUCUCAAAAUCUACAAUAUGUAUAGUAAGAUACUGUCGACCCUGAUAGUCAAACUUGUCGAUCAAAAUCAAAAGAACUAGAGGAGAAAACUUCAACUACAUGCUACAACUCCCCCACCCACCCCGGCAACUUUGCUAACGGCAACUGAUCCGGAGACACGGCCUGGAGGCGCGAUGGAGUCGGAGUCUUAGUCUGGUCUGGUUUGUGCGAGACUGUGAAGAGAGUGAAGAGAGUGAAUGGUGGUGAGGAAGAAGAUCGAGAAGAGGCUGAGGUGGCACGUUUUAAUAGGGUGGACGGAUAAGGACGCGGCUGGGAGGCGGCGGCGAGCAGCAGAGCAGAGCAGUGGGUAGCGGUUUUUUGCGUUAAUCCUGCGUGAGGUUUCGAUCUUACCUUUCUUAACUUUAUCGUUGGGCAGUUUGGUAAUUAAGCAAAAAUAGAGGGACCGGAGAGCUGCUGCUUUUAUCUUCUUUUCGGUUUUACAAAAGUAGAAUUAGAUUAACAUUUUUAUGGGUCAUCAUAUGACAACGUAAAUAUGGAGACCACCAGAUCCGGGGGUUUUAAAGGUCAAUAUCGAUGGAUCUUAUCAACUGGGAAGCAAGGAAGGGACUAUGGCUUGUGUGUAUCGUGAUUCACAUGGACAACUUACUGGUGGCUUCUCAGAUAGCUUUGCUGCCUUCUCGGCUCUGCAAGCGGAGAUCCACGCUUGCUUGCUUGCUCUCCGUCAUUUGAUUGAUCAAGACCUCUCUCAUGCUGCGCUGACUCUUGAAUCGGAUUGCCAGACCUUCAUUGAGACACUAAAGGGUUAGCGCUCGCCGCCAUGGCAAGAACAAAGCCUCUUCUCCGAAGCUGCCUUCCUGCUUUCAUUUUUUCCCAACAUUUCCCUAGCCUUCUGUCGUCGUGAGGCGAAUGUUGCUGCUGACUGGGCUGCGAAGGCCCAUAGGGUUAAUUCCAAGCGAAGUAACUGGGUUGUUUUUCCCCCUCCCCCUCUUUUAGAUCUUAUUUACGUUGAUGUGAUAGCUGCUGCUUGUAAUUGGUUUGGUCCAUAUAUAUAAUAGGUUCUGUUUGACAAAAAAAAAAAAAUAGGGAGAGAGAAGGGAGGGAGAGUAAAGGCUAAGAACAGAGAUGUGACUUGAAAGUCGAGACUCGUGACCUUAGUCUAAGUGAAGCAGCUACAAUGGGAAAAAUAUAAUUAUAUGAAAUAUCAGAAUUGAUAAACCUUGAAAUGUGAUGGACAUGAUUAAGUUCUAGGAAGAAAAUCAAACGGGAUGUAACGAUAUUCCAUGAUCGCAUGGUGGCAUUUUAAUUUCCAGUCAUAUUUUCAUCGAUUUACACGAGAAUUUAGAUAUCAUUGGAUAUACUAAAUAAGUAUAUCUUCGAGGCAAGGCCGUAGAAGAGAGAGGAUUGGGAUGUUCAUUUUUUAUUUUUUUUUACAUGAUAUCAAAAUACAAUAGCCGAACGUUCGAAUCUCUCUAUUACCUCCCACAUUCUAAUCCACUUCUUCAUUUUAUGUCUAGUUGAUUUAAACAGUUAUGUGGAGUCUGGCCAGCUUUUAUGCAUUUCAAUCAGUCACUCCUCUAUGUCAGCAUGGUGCAUUUAUGAUUAUACUCUGUUUUCUGAACAAAACAUGAGCGCGAAAGCAUAACAAGAGGAGCAAACCACCUUACUAUUUAAGUCAACACUUAAUUGGCCUGUCAAUGCAUUUCUUAAACACAGGCAAAAGUGAUCCUAAGCUUGAGAAAGCGGGUUACAUAAAUCUGGCCAACAUAGGUAAAUAGUUCAAUUGGGGGUUCAAUCUGAGUUACUCCGAUAAUUAAAGUUAGCAAGAACGAAUCAUUUUGAUCCCUUCAUGCCACUGCACUAAUCUCCGCUUGUCUCACGCACGUGGGGACUAGCUUCUUCGCUGCUCUGUCCCGCGACGAGCUAGCUGCAUUUGCGAUGCCAUAGCUUCUGUCCCGACGUUGCUGCUCCCUCCAUGGACCGACGCAGCUUCACCGUGACGAGUAUUGGCUCUACUGAGCACCUGCACGACCACCACGAUCUGUCCUGGUGCUACCUGCCCACGCUGAUCGCCAUCAGAUCCGCCGCCUCUUCUUACCACACUGCUGACAAGCCGUGAGCCUCCAAUGACGGUCCUUGCUAUGAGCCUUCAGUGACGGACCACCACGUGAACCGUUGCGGCUUCUCGCUCAACAACGGUGUUGUCCUCCAAUUUGCCGCCCACCUGUUACCGCCAUCCGUUGCACCUCCAACGCCACCCACCCAACAGCAAUUGCCUGUCUUAUCACCUUAUGAAAGAACGAAUGCUAGGCACGCUUCAGUCCCGACGGCCACCUUCUAUUAACAGCCUCCGUGAAUUCUCUUUUCCUGCAGGUUUCCAUCGCCGGCGACCAUCCAAUGACGCCAGCAUCUCCUGCACUUGUCCUGUGUCCACCGCAGUGAGCCAGGAAAAAAAUAAGUGAUCUUGAACAGGGUGGAAGGAAAGUCAAGCGGUGGCCAAAGUGGAGAAAAAGAAAAAUUGGAACGGAGAAGAUUCGUUCCGUCAUUUGCAAACGAUAUCAAAGCCCACACUUUCCAGAAUACAGGAUCCAGAGAAGACAAAUAAAGGGGGAAAUUCUGGAAAUUCGCUCCUCGGGUAUCCGUUCUUCGCGUUUUCUCUCGAGUUACCACCGAGCAGAGCCGUGUCACUAAUUGCCCCCGAACCACCGCCGCAGCCGGCCAUCCUUUGCCUAGAAGCACCACCACCAUGAGUAGUCUUGCUGCGAGCCUCAUCCGCCAGCCACCGUUGGUCAUCUGUCGAGUCCGAAUUUGGAUUGUGCGCUUCAAAUUAGUUAAUGUUCUAAUCCGAUUUGAUUUGAAUGUUUAAUUGCAAAUUUCAGAUUGAUUUCCUUAUAUAAUUGUGAUAUUCGAGAUUUUAGGCAUUACGCCAUAAGAUUUUUAAGUUUAUUGCAAUCCUCCUGUGCGCGAGAUAAUUCUAAUCCAGAUUAGACGAUCUCUCCGAGCUCUGCUGGUACUGAACCCGGCCAGCUUCUUCAAGCUUUGAAUUUCAGCUUUAGCUUUGGAACUUCUACCACCGCUACUAUUCUGCUCCUGGAACUGUUCCAAGCUUCGCCAUCCUCUUCCUUCUGCAGAGCCAAACAUGUCGUGGAACCGUUUCAAGCUUCUUCCUGCCCGUGUCAUGGAAUCGGACUCUUCCGUGAAAGCUCCAUUCCUUUUCAGUGGAUUGGAAGCAGGCCCUCCAGAGUCCUCACUGAAAUCUUCCGGAUAAAAAAGUGACUGCCCCGGUGAAUAACAUUUCGGGUGUCCGAUGAUCAGACUCAGCAGCAGGCGAAUCAUCUGAGAGCAUCAGCGGGACCUGGUUCGGGAACGCUUCAGCAGCCAUAAUCAGCAACCAAACAAAAUAUAAGAAAGGAGAAAAAUGCAAAAUCUUAACUUGGUACCAGCCACCCGCAGCACUAUGGAAUAUAAUAUAGCAUACCAACACCAUUCCAAAGACCAAGCUCUUCCUAUGGGGUGCAUGUCAAAGUGCUAUGCCAGCAAAAGAGGACCUUUUCAAGAGGAGCAUUGUUGCUGAGCCUACCUGAGAUUUAUGCCAUUUAGAACCUGAAACUGCUGAACACGUUCUUCUCUUCUCUUCUGUCCACUGACCAAAACGGGAGUGUGGGAGGACCCGACCCUGAAAAUAAAAAAUUACAAGCGACCACAUUGUGAUAUCAGCUAAUUUAACAAGCCCGAUGAUUUUUUCGGAUAUUAUAAUCUUUUAUUUGAAUUUUGAUGGAUAUCCUAGAUGAUUUUUGCUAUGUUUGAAUUUUUUAUUAGAUCAGGUUAGGUUGAAAAAUGAUUUGACCCAAAGUGACCUAUUUAAAUUUUUUUGACUAAUUUCCAUACAUUAAAAACACUUCUAUAGUUAAUCCAAUCUAGAAAAACUCGUACUUAAACUAAGAUGAGAACAUGGAGCGAGCGAGCGCGAGAUCAAGUAAAGACAAGAAAGUGAAGAGAGAAUCAUAGAGGUGGAUUGAGUUUAAAUAGGUCGUGAACUAAUAUUACACUAUAAAUCUUAUCAUUCUAAACUCAUUCAUGAAUAUAACUAACCUAUAUUACAACUCAACCCAUCAAAUAUAGGUUAAAAAAUAGGUUUAUGAUCCAUUUUGAUAGAUCUAAUCAAGAUGGUGAUCACUUUGAAGAUAACCGUCACCCCUAUUCCUUUCUCAAUUGGAUUCUCUCUCCUACUUGGAUAUGAGAAAUUUUAUCUGACCCAACACUAUAACUUUUAUUUUAGUCUAUAUUCAUGUUAAGUCUGCAUUUAUCAUGGUGUGAUAAUUAAGGACUUGAUGCAAUCAUUUAUAUUUUCUAGUCAAAUAAAGUCUUAUUCUUUAUGUGUCCAAAUAAUCAACAAAAUCAAAAUAGAAAUUUCAUGCCCGUUGCUUUUGACUUUCACUUUGUAAUUCCUUCCAAUCACAAGGGCCCGACCAUUGGACUUGACCUCCAAGGCCAAACCCAAAAGAAAAAUUGUUGGACCUAAGUAGGCCCAUUAGGCAUGGGCUUAACCAAGCCUAAACCAAAAAUAUGCAACACAGCCUGUCAUUUCACAGGGCUAUGCUUGGGUAUGGGCUGAACAGCUAGACUUGCCCCCAAAGGCCCAAUCCCAAAAAAAAAAAAAAAAUUGUUUGACCUAGAUGGGCCCAUGAGUCUGAUCAAGCCUAGGCACAACAUGUGACACAACCCACCAUCUAAUGGGCAGUGCCCUAGCAUGGACACAGCCUAUUACCGAUCCCUAUCCAUAAGAAAAUAAGUUGGAUCCAUGUAAAUUCAUUCAUUCAUAACAAAUUUUACUUCCUAUCCCUUCGCGUUUCAUUAACACUACUAAUCAACAAAAAUGCUUGAACACGAACACUCUAGACCAAAAGACGAUGAUGACAUGUCGAAGUAGAUUUUCCAUGAAUUUGAGAUCUCGAAAUUUGUAAUAUGUAUGGACGUUGUGGAUCACUCCAAGGACUAUGAUAAUCCAAUUCGUUGAUCAAAAUCAAUAAUAUCCUUAUUGAAGAAAACUUUAGCUACACGUUACGACUUCUCUCAGCAUUUGAUAGCAACCAAUCUAGAGACACUGGCAGCAUUGCUGUGAAGUUCCUCGCUGGGGACUCCUCGUUCGCCUCCCAACCUCGAUCGCCCUCAAAGUUGAGCGCAUAGCUCAUCAUAUCAUACCCAAACUCUGAGGUCGCGAUGUGGCCUUGCUUUCGACACCUCUUGAUCCAAGUGAUGAGGCUCUAGAGCUUGUGUUGGAUCUCCGACAGUGGAAGCUCCCGGGCCAUGGAAUGGAGCCAUAAGCAAGGCGACCGGGUUGCCCCACGGUAGCUGCCAUCACUGUCACCGUCGUUGCUGUAGUCUGAGGGGGCGGCCUCAUGGUGGACAGUGGCGUCCUGAAAGCAACAGAAGAGGAGACGCGGGGAGGAUGAUUUGAGCUCGUGAUUGAACAACAUUGGGCUGUGUGGAGAGAGAGAGAGAGAGAGGGGAGAGAGAGGGAGUGGGGGGGGGGGAGGAUGAGGUGGCGGGUUUUUAUAGGGUGGACAGGAUAAAGGAGGAAGGGCAAAGUGGGAGGACAUGGAGUUUUGAGUUAAUCCCUCCCUGAUGUUUUGUCUUGUUUUUCCCUAAUUGCAUUUUUUUUUAUGUAAUUUGGUAACUAAGCAAAAGUUGAGGGAUCAUGUAGCUGCUCCUUUUUCCUUUUCUACAAGGCGUUGUUUCCUCCCCUUAAAUGUUUGAGUCUAACCAAUUGCUAUUAGAAAUACAAAAAUCGCCCCUAAUCAUUCAAUUACAUUUUAUAAGUGGUGACACCCAAAUUUUGCUUUCCUUUCCUUUUAACUUUGCUGUUUUUAUGUAGGAUUUUGUUACCAUAGAAACAAAGUUUCAAUGUAUAUUAAGGGGCACGCUUUUUUUAAUUGUUAGAUUUUAUUUCCAUAAAAAUUAGUUUUGUCGAAAAGAGAAAUCCCUAAAAAAAAUCUUUUUCUUUUCUAUGUUGUUGCUCAAAUUUAUGGAUAAAUUGUCGAGUAAAAUCUAGAAAUAAAUUAAGGGUGGCAUUAUUUUCACCCUCUAAAUGACUAAACCCACCUACACUAAAAAGAAAAAAUUGUCCUCAAUUUUACAAUUGCAGUUUUAGAUGAUAGCCCGACUCCUUCUUUUUUUUUAUUUUUUUCUUUUUCUAUCUUGGAUAGUUGCCAUAAUUAAAAAUUUCACAUGUUUUGUUUUUUAGCUUAGAAAUUUUUAUAUUGUUUUACAUGCUCCAUGUAAAAUUAUCUUGCUAAUGGUAAGGGAAAAAAAAAAGCAUUAUUUGAUAUAGUAUAAAAUUGAAAAGUCUCUUCUUCAUUAUUGAUCUUACAACAACUUAUCUAUUUUUUGUUCCUUUUAUAUCAAAAACUCACUUUCUUGAAGAGCUUUUUAUUAGUCUCAUUAGUAUAAAAAUAUAUAUCAACUCUCUUUAUUUACUAUAUCAAAGUACUUAUAUUUUUUCCUGACUAUAUUGGUGAGAUACCCUUAUAUAUAGCAUGUAAGGAGUUAGAGAUAUAUCUAAAAAAACACUAAAUACCUUAUGCACAAUGAGGCAUCUUAAUAAUUUUUCAUAAACAGUUUAUUGAUGAUAUUAAUUUUUCUCAAUCCAAAAUAAAGAAAUUUCACUGGUAUUUUCAAAAAAAAAAAAAAAUCUUACUUUAUGCAAUUAAUUUUUUUACUUAACAAUUUAUCCACAAAUUUAAUUGAAAAUUAAAAAAAAAUAGAUUUGUCGGAAAUUUCUCUUUUUGACAAAAUAAAUUUUUUAUUGAAGUAAUAUCUAACAAUAAAAGAAGACAUAGUGCCUUUAAUAUACAUGGAAAAUCUACAAUAAACAAAAUUAAACAUAUUCAAUUCUUAAUUAUGGUAGGUAGAUCCUCCAUAAGUAUAGAAAAACUUGCAAUUAAAUGAUAGAAGGUAAUUUUGUAUUUUUGGUGAAAAUUGGGUGAAUUUAAUCACACAACACACAUAUAGUGGAAUGAUCAGAUGAAGCCAUAAAAUAUAUAUAUAUAUAUAUAUAUAUAUAUAUAUAUAUAUAUAUUUGUUGAUUUUCCAAAAUAAAAUCGCAAUUACAUUCUCUAACAUAAAACAUGUCGGGCCAAUAUACAAUUCACAAAAUAAACCAGACUAGGGACAUGUUUGCUAAUCUUUCUGUUUUCAAGCGUAAUUUCAUUUCAAAAUCUAUUUCCUAUACGAGUUUCUAAGUAUGACAACGCAUUUGUUAACUACACAAUAUUUCCCUUCUCAAAAAAAAAAAAGAAUAGAAAUGCAUUUACUAUAACCCUAAAUUCUCUUCCCAUUUUUUUUUCAUUUUAUUAUAAAAAUUAUCAGUAGACACUUAAUGAUUCAUGUUUGAAUAAAUAUUUGUCGAGCCUAGGCUGGCCCAUUAGGACCCAUGGCCCUGACCUGGCCUAGGCACAAAACAGACACGGUCUGCCACCUUAACGGGCUGUGCCCUGGCUCAAGCCCAGGCAUGCCGUACCUGGGUCAGUGUGGCCCAGUACCAAUCCCUAUCCACAAGAAAAGAAGAUGCAUCCGCUUUGUCCAUAAAGUAAGUCCCAUUCAUCCAACAAUAACAAUAAAAUUUCUUCUUGUUUGUUCGUGUUUCAAUUUUUUAUUUUUAUUUUCUUAAGUCGAAAGUUCGCAUUUCGAUGACGCAUCGCCAAUCAGCAAAAUUCUCGACCGGGGAUCAACAAUCCAGACAAAAGGCGAAAGCAAAGCGGAGAAGACGAAAACAUAUCGAAGCAGAUCUUUCAUAAAAUUGAGAUCUGGAAGUUCUACAAAUAUGUACAGACACUGCGAAUUGCUCUAGAGACUGUUGAUAUAAGCCCAACUUAGUGGAUCAAAAUUCCAGAGGAAAACAACUUCAACAACAAGCUACGACUUCCCUCGGUAACCUCGACGGCAUCAACCGAUCUGGAGACACCGGCAGCCGCGCUGAGAAGUUCCUCAUUGAGAACUCCUCGUCUGACUCCCAGCUCCGAUCGUCCUCGAAGUUUAGCGCGUAGCUCAUCGGGUCAUACCCGAACUCCGAGGAGGCCGCCGCCGCCGCGUGGCCCGGCCUCCACCGGCACCUCCCGAUCCGAGCGAUGAGGCUGCGGCACCUGUACCGGAUCUCCGGCAGGAGGAGCUCCUGGGCCGUCGAGCGGACCUUGCGGGGGUGGCCGUCGUCACAGUCCGAGGAGGUGGCCUCGUGGUAGGCAGCGGCAUGGCCACCGUCGUGGAAGCAGGAGAAGAGGAGGGACGGGGAGGAUGAUCUGAGCUUGUGAUGGAAGAGCAUUUCGACGGCGAGAGCGAUGGGACUCGGAUUCUUGGUCUGGUUUGUGCAAGGCCGUGAAGAGAGCGGAGAGAGUGGAUGGAGAUGAGGAAGAAGAUGGAGAAGAGGAUAAGGUGGAGGGUUUAUUUAUAGGUCGGGCGG